rnacentral:lncRNA from 1 species
UGGCCAGGCACCAAUCCUCUGCCUCCUUCUGUGCCUGCCUGGCUGCCCCUACACUGGGGCUCCCUCUUAGCCCCCACCUCACCUACUGGCUCACUGAGACAGAGCCAAACAUGAAAGGGAAGGUGACGGCCUGGCCAUAGGGCCCAGGAAAAUGCAGGUAUCAUUAACAGCCUGGAGCACUGUGGCCUGUCCACUCUCAACCCUCUGCUGCCCACCCCUUCCUGGAAUAGACCCCAGGCCACAUACAGAGGGGGCAAGCCCAAGCCAGGAUUGAAGGAGAUCCCAUCUUGGGUCUAAAGGAAUGGGGGUGAAGACUGCAUCUUGUCGUUCCAGUUCCACCCCAUUCUGGCAUGGGAAGCAUGUGUGGGCUUCUACUCUAUGGGGGAUUCGUAGC